AACGAACGCUGGCGGCAUGCCUAACACAUGCAAGUCGAACGAGACCUUCGGGUCUAGUGGCGCACGGGUGCGUAACGCGUGGGAACCUGCCCUUAGGUUCGGAGUAACUCCCCGAAAGGGGUGCUAAUACCGGAUAAUGUCUUCCGACCAAAGAUUUAUCGCCUUUGGAUGGGCCCGCGUUGGAUUAGCUGGUUGGUAGGGUAAAAGCCUACCAAGGCGACGAUCCAUAGCUGGUCUGAGAGGAUGAUCAGCCACACUGGGACUGAGACACGGCCCAGACUGGUACGGGAGGGAGCAGUGGGGAAUAUUGGACAAUGGGGGAAAGCCUGAUCCAGCAAUGCCGCGUGAGUGAUGAAGGCCUUAGGGUUGUAAAGCUCUUUUACCCGGGAUGAUAAUGACAGUACCGGGAGAAUAAGCUCCGGCUAACUCCGUG
rnacentral:rRNA from 1 species